rnacentral:miRNA from 1 species
GUAUUUGUAGUGGGAGUUUCUUUCAAGAUUGAAAAUCCUCUGGCAGGUUUUUUGUUUUUUUUGUUUUUUUUUUUUGUUUUGGGGGGCGGGGGGUGGUGGUGUUGUGGAGGAUUUUCAAUCUUGACAGAAACUCCCACUACAAAUAC